rnacentral:lncRNA from 1 species
CUUAAUUAUUUGACAAUAUUGUUUGACUUUUCUACUACAAAGCACAUUACACAUUAUCAAGUUUAGUUCAAAAAUUUUGAUUUCAUAUGUUUCUUCAGGCUUGCUUCGCCUUUUAUCAUAAUAUUAGUCAAAAUUUUAUAAGAAUACUUAAAUAUUUAAAUUAGAAUAUGAUCUUAUAAUAAUGAAUAAAUGUUUCAAUAAUCACCGAACUUACUCAUUGAACUUCAAAUUGCUUCCAAAUGGUCACUGAACUUUCAGCUGUUGCACCACAUCCAUCACUCACCAAAUUUCGUUACCAUCGAAGUUGACGUGGUGGAUAGAAAACACAUGUGAAGGGCAGUGGCCGCUUAAAAGUUAACAAAUCUAAUUUCUAAUCCAAAUAACCUAAAAAAUGCACCUACACCACAUGACUUUGAAUACCUAAAAAAUAUUUUUCACCCAAUCAAAUUACCAUAUCAUCACCUCCAAUGCCUAAAUUGAGAUUGCUCAUAUGAGUCUCAGCCAAAAACUAUCUGAACUUGCAGCCAACCUUGUCGUUCGUUGAAUCACCAAAUACUAAAUCUUCGAAGGUGGAUAUUCCAAUUCAUUCACUUCAAACUCCUUCAGCUUGAGAUGUAUUCCCUGUCUCAUCUACAUGUCCUAAAUCAUUUGUAUUGAGACUAACUUCAAUCCAUUCCCUUACAUAACGGUCAUCCAAUAUGUCAUCUUCUAAGUUAUUCUUAGAUGCAAUAAAGUUUGGGUCGUCAUUAUCAUCUGUUACAACAUGCUCGAAUAUCAGAUCAUCAUCAUCAUUUGAAUUUAACUCCCUCUCAAAAUCAUUGAAGUCCGGGUCUUGCUCAUCAUCCCGUCAAAAUCAACUUCAAUCUCUUCAGUCACAUUCUCAUCAUAGAGAGCAUCGUCUUCUUCAAAAUCCAACUCAUUCAUAGAGGUAAUAAAGUCCGGAUAUUUCUCAUUCCCGGAAUUGCAUGCACAUUUAAAAUAAAACCGAGUAAUCAUAAUCGAGUAACAUCGUUUGAACAUUUCAAGUUUAACACUAACAAAAUAAAUAUAUAAAAUCAAUAAAAUUGGUGUGGGGCAUGCACAAAAAGACUACAAAACGAAAAUAUUAUUUAUGUAAAAAAGUAUUUCCUCAUAGGGACAAAUUAUUUACGAGAAUGCAUAAAUGUGUAUAAAUGUCAAAAAAUGUACCUCUAUGAGGUCCCUCCAUUUGAGCGGUGUGAAUUUUUCAAUGAAAGUGGUCCUUAUUUCACGAAUUUGGUUGGGCCGUGUGUAGGGUAGAAGAUGAAGCAAACAGGUUUACCAAAUUUUUAGGAGCAAUCGCAAUUUAGGGAUUUGAGGUGAUAAUUUGGGGAUUUUUA